GGUCAAAGGUCGCAUAUUUGGGGUCAAAGGGCACACAUAUGGGGUCAAAGGUCCCCAUUUGGGGUCAAAGGUCACAUAUUUGGGGACAAAGGUCACAUAUAUGGGCUCAGAGGACACAUAUUUGGGGUCAAAGGUCGCCAUUUGGGGUCAAAGGUCACGAAUGGGGGUCAAAGGUCACAUAUAUGGGCUCAGGGGACACAGAUUUGGGGUCAAAGGUCACAUUUAGGGGUCAAAGGUCACGAUUGGGGGUCAAAUGUCGCCAUUUUGGGGUCAAAGGGUACAUAUAUGGGGUCAAAGGUCGCAUAUUUGGGGUCAAAGGUGAACAUUUGGGGUCAAAGGUCACAUUUUGGGGUCAAAGGUCACAUAUUUGGGGACAAAGGUCACAUAUAUGGGCUCAGGUGACACAGAUUUGGGGUCAAAGGUCGCCGUUUGGGGGUCAAAGGUCGCCGAUAUGGGGUCAAAGGUCACGUAUAUGGGCUCAGAGGACACAGAUUUGGGGUCAAGGGUCGCCAAUAUGGGGUCAAAGGUCACGAAUGGGGGUCAACGGUCGCCAUUUUGGGGUCAAAGGGCACCGAUAUGGGGUCAAAGGUCACGAAUGGGGGUCAAAGGUCACAUAUAUGGGCUCAGAGGACACAGAUUUGGGGUCAAAGGUCACCAAUAUGGGGUCAAAGGUCGCAUAUUUGGGGUCAAAGGUCACAUAUAUUGGCUCAGGGGACACGUCUUUGGGGUCAAAGGUCACAUUUUGGGGUCAAAGGUCGCAUAUUUGGGGUCAAAGGUCACAUAUAUGGGCUCAGAGGGCACAUAUUUGGGGUCAAAGUUCGUAUAUUUGGG
ensembl:lncRNA